rnacentral:rRNA from 1 species
UACGUAGGCAGCAAGCGUUGUUCGGAGUUACUGGGCGUAAAGGGUGUGUAGGCGGUUGUUUAAGUUUGGUGUGAAAUCUCCCGGCUCAACUGGGAGGGUGCGCCGAAUACUGAAUGACUAGAGUGCGGGAGAGGAAAGUGGAAUUCCUGGUGUAGCGGUGAAAUGCGUAGAUAUCGUCUGGAACGCCAAAGGUGAAAACAGCUCGCUGGGGUUGUGCUGACGCUGAGACACGAAAGCCAGGGGAGCGAACGGG